CGCAUGCGCAGGCGAGGCCCGCCGCGUGCCGGUUCCUGGCGCGGCGUCCGUGUCCUUCAGGGCCUGAGGCGUGGGCGCUGUCGGUUUUGGUCUUCGCGCCCUGGAUUCUGUGGAGUCAUUUCUUGUGUUUCUUCAGCCCUCCCUGUCUUACUUACCUGGCUCUGGGCAGGUGACCAGUUAGCAAAAGAAAAUGUGUUUACUCUGAGUCAAUUCUCGAUCCCUUCCUUUGGAAGGUUACAGAAGCCUCCCCGGGCGAGGCGGCGAGGCGGCGAGGCGGUGUUGGGUUUUCGCGUCUCCUGACGAAGAGGAGAUGACCUCGGCGGGGCUGGAAUUUCCCGCAGUACCGGCGCCGCACGCAACCCUAUCUGUCUGCAGGCCCCCAGGCUUUCCCUCCGCGAAGACAGUGCUAUCGGGCGACGAGCGACGUCUCAUAUUUAAUGAGACCCCACCUGAGGCGAGCGGGAGCUAACCUGGACAUGCAAGCAGCGAGAGACGUGGAGUCUAGUGGGCUAGCCACAAAUAACUUGGUCUUCCUCCAAAAAAUACGUAUUAAAACGUCUGUCCAUGCAGUGAACUGUGUCGGAAGGAAACCAAACGGUACCAACAAAGUGCCUGCCGGCAUUCCAGGGGGCCAAACACCCUGAACGUUAGCCAAUACUCCAUCUGUAAAGAGCGGUCUGUGAAACAACAGGGAAGAUCUUCAGCGAUGAAAGACAUUGUACAAUAAGUGUUAGCUCCGAUGGCGGUGCUGCCGGACGGUACUUCAGUGGAAGAAGAUUCCAAAAGGGAACCGCAAGCAUUUGCAUUUGCAGAGGCGUGGGGGGAAGGGCCUCGGGCUGGUAACCUGGUAGGAAGGGAAGCCCGGCCAGGACUAACUUGCAGUUUGCAGGUUGGAAGGAAGAGCAGGGAGACCGACUUUGGCUCCCCAUCUGUAAAAUGGGGAUAUGGACUUCCUGGGAAGGGUCACUGUCUGCGCUGGGCUCUGUGCCUAUCACAUAAUGAUACUCAGGAAAUCAUAGCUCUUCUUUGUCGAGAAACUUCUGCCUCUUUGAGAAACUGAUAAAAAGGCAUGGACUUCUUCCCAGCCAAACGUGCAAGUGAUAGGAGAAAAUUUGUGGACCCGGCACACGCACACAGGCACCCUGCCCGAGCCCAGGAACCAAAGAUGAAGGUCCUCAAUGACAGCUUGGCAAUUUUCACUAUCCUGAAAAAUUAAUCUCUGAUAGAAGAAUAACAUUUGUAAAUAAUUUGCCCUGAGGUAAUAAAUUCAAGAACAGAAAAUGAAAGAAAAAAGAACGUACAAGGUUACUGAUAUCGACUCUGGAGAUAAUCUGUUCCUCAUCAGGAAUACUUUGCAAGCCAUAAAAAUAAUAAUGUAAUUAUGCUUACUAACAUCGAAUGGAUCCAGCUUGCAUUAUUGAGACAGUGGGUAUAGUGCUCUCCUUCUAGUAAAAUUGUAUUUGCGGGGAGGGAGAGGUGGAUGGGACCGUACACAUGUAAUUUUCUGUCUUUGCUUUUCAGUUCUUGGUUAUGAUGAAACUCCCUAUAAUGAAAUACAAAAGAGAAAAAUAAAUACAGGUUUUAUUAACAUGUAUAUUCUCAGUUGUGUCCCUCUCUUUGCGACCCCAUGGACUGUAGCCUGCCAGUCUCCCCUGUCCAUGAGAUUCCAGGCAAGAAUAACUGCAGUGGGUUGCCAUUUCCGCCUGCAGGGAUCUUCCUAACCCUGAGAUGGAACUGGAGUCUCCAGCAUUGCUGGCAGAUUCUGUACCACUGCCACCUGGGAAGCCCCUCAGAGGGAGGAAGAUGCAGAUACAAACGGAGAUUUCUCUUAUAAAUGCAAAUUUCCCCCACAAAAGGGUAAAGUUUGAUUCUGUUCUCAGUUUCUCCUGCUCCUGCAGUUUCUCAAAAAUAAAGGAAGUUGCCAAAUAAUCUUUAUGCCC
ensembl:lncRNA